rnacentral:rRNA from 1 species
UCCUACGGGAGGCAGCAGUAGGGAAUCUUCGGCAAUGGGGGCAACCCUGACCGAGCAACGCCGCGUGAGUGAAGAAGGUUUUCGGAUCGUAAAGCUCUGUUGUAAGAGAAGAACGUGUGUGAGAGUGGAAAGUUCACACAGUGACGGUAACUUACCAGAAAGGGACGGCUAACUACGUGCCAGCAGCCGCGGUAAUACGUAGGUCCCGAGCGUUGUCCGGAUUUAUUGGGCGUAAAGCGAGCGCAGGCGGUUUAAUAAGUCUGAAGUUAAAGGCAGUGGCUUAACCAUUGUUCGCUUUGGAAACUGUUAGACUUGAGUGCAGAAGGGGAGAGUGGAAUUCCAUGUGUAGCGGUGAAAUGCGUAGAUAUAUGGAGGAACACCGGUGGCGAAA